rnacentral:rRNA from 1 species
AUGAACAAUCUGUGUUCAAACUAUCUCCAUGAUCAUUUUGACUUCAAGGCUUUCCUAGCAACCAAGAUCUCCAUAUGCAUAUACCAUGUCACACUGCUGUUUCAGGACAACCGAGAUUCAACUUCUGAUUCACCAAAAUUUUGGUACCCGGGUAUAUGUCGCCGACAUGUGGGCGCAGACCCGCAGCUGUGCUGGCCAGUACAGUGCAAUCUAAUGUGCAUUGUAUUUGUGGAGUUUCCGGCUAAUUCUCUGAUUCUAAUGCAGGGCAUUAUUGUAACUUAUGAACCAAUUUGCAUUGUUGUAUCAGCAAACAGAGGAGAGGACGUCAGGGGAGGCAGUGACAUAGCUGAUUCCGUGGGCAUGAGUUCAGCAAAACUGGAUAUUAGUUUCGCUCUCAUUAACUGGAACGGCAACUUGCAUUGA